GACGAACGCUGGCGGCGUGCUUAACACAUGCAAGUCGAACGAAGUGGCGAACGGGUGAGUAACGCGUAAUCAAACUGCCCUUCAGAGGGGGAAAACAGUUGGCAACGACUGCUAAUACCGAAUACUGAAGGAGGGGAUUGCGUCUGAUUAGCUCGUGGGAGGGGUAACGGCCAACCAAGGGGAUGAACAGUAGCCGGUCUGAGAGGAUGAACGGCCACAUUGGGACUGAGACACGGCCCAGACUCCUACGGGAGGCAGCAGUGGGGAAUCUUCCGCAAUGGACGAAAGUCUGACGGAGCAACGCCGCGUGAGUGAUGACGGCCUUCGGGUUGUAAAGCUCUGUUAAUCGGGACGCGGUACCGGAAUAGAAAGCCACGGCUAACUACGUGCCAGCAGCCGCGGUAAUAC
rnacentral:rRNA from 1 species